UAGCUACAGGCUUAACACAUGCAAGUCGAGGGGCAGCAUGGUCUUAGCUUGCUAAGGCCGAUGGCGACCGGCGCACGGGUGAGUAACACGUAUCCAACCUGCCGUCUACUCUUGGACAGCCUUCUGAAAGGAAGAUUAAUACAAGAUGGCAUCAUGAGUCCGCAUGUUCACAUGAUUAAAGGUAUUCCGGUAGACGAUGGGGAUGCGUUCCAUUAGAUAGUAGGCGGGGUAACGGCCCACCUAGUCUUCGAUGGAUAGGGGUUCUGAGAGGAAGGUCCCCACAUUGGAACUGAGACACGGUCCAAACUCCUACGGGAGGCAGCAGUGAGGAAUAUUGGUCAAUGGGCGAGAGCCUGAACCAGCCAAGUAGCGUGAAGGAUGACUGCCCUAUGGGUUGUAAACUUCUUUUAUAAAGGAAUAAAGUCGGGUAUGGAUACCCGUUUGCAUGUACUUUAUGAAUAAGGAUCGGCUAACUCCGUGCCAGCAGCCGCGGUAAUACGGAGGAUCCGAGCGUUAUCCGGAUUUAUUGGGUUUAAAGGGAGCGUAGAUGGAUGUUUAAGUCAGUUGUGAAAGUUUGCGGCUCAACCGUAAAAUUGCAGUUGAUACUGGAUAUCUUGAGUGCAGUUGAGGCAGGCGGAAUUCGUGGUGUAGCGGUGAAAUGCUUAGAUAUCACGAAGAACUCCGAUUGCGAAGGCAGCCUGCUAAGCUGCAACUGACAUUGAGGCUCGAAAGUGUGGGUAUCAAACAGGAUUAGAUACCCUGGUAGUCCACACGGUAAACGAUGAAUACUCGCUGUUUGCGAUAUACAGCAAGCGGCCAAGCGAAAGCGUUAAGUAUUCCACCUGGGGAGUA
rnacentral:rRNA from 1 species